GUGCUUGCUUUGGCAGCACACAUACUAAAACUGGAACGAUACAGAGAAGAUUAGCAUGGCCCCUGAGCAAGGAUGACACACAAAUUCAUGAAGCGUUCCAUAUUUUU
ensembl:snRNA U6 U6 spliceosomal RNA